rnacentral:rRNA from 1 species
GUCCACGCCGUAAACUAUGGAUACUAGAUGUCGGGAGAUCUUACCCUCUCGGUGUCGUAGUUAACACGUUAAGUAUCCCGCCUGGGAAGUACGGCCGCAAGGUUAAAACUCAAAGAAAUUGACGGGGGCCCGCACAAGCGGUGGAGUAUGUGGUUCAAUUCGAUGCAACGCGAAAAACCUUACCUGGGCUUGACAUCCCGUGCAUAACCAUGAAAGUGGUGAAAUCCCUUCGGGGACGCGGAGACAGGUGCUGCAUGGCUGUCGU